GACGGCAUAGUUUAAUUGGUGAAAAUACCUCCCUUUCACGGAGGCGACGAUAGUUCGAGUCUGUCUGCUGUCA
rnacentral:tRNA from 1 species